rfam:Aedes aegypti strain Liverpool supercont1.355 genomic scaffold, whole genome shotgun sequence.
GGCUCGGUAGCUUAGUUGGUAAAGCGCUCGUCUAGCAUACAAGAGUCCUGGGUUCAAAUCCCAGCCGAACAC